ACAUAUAAACAAGCAUUAAAAUGAUAAAAACUUAACUCAACUCGAAGCGCGUUCUAAAUUCAUUUGAAAACUUAAGUCAAAGGAUUUCUCACUUGGAAUGAUUUUCUAAUUCCGGGAGUUGCUGUUAGCAGGCAAAUUGGCGCUACUACGUACGUAGAAACAUCGUCAAAAACUUGUCCCAAGGCAAUACAAGACGCAUUUGAAGUAUCUGCACUAGCAGCUUUAGGAAAAUUGAAUAAAAGUUUAUCAUCGAAUCAAAAAUUUUCUUCGAAUAGAUAUAAUGGAACUUGGCAUCGAGCUAAAGUUGAUCUCAACUUUCGCGAUAGAACUAAAAAUUGUGUUGUUAUGUAGGUAAUUAAUUCGUACUAUUGAACAAAACUGAAAUUAUACUUGUAUCAUUACAUUUCUGUGUACGAGGUUUCUAACAGAAAUGAACGUCGAAAAUUAUACCUACGAAAUGAUUUCUACAAAGAGCUUUAUAGAAACCUAUUUAUCGCCAAGUAGAAUAAUUUGUGAAAAAAUGACGAAUAAAAGUAAGAUUUCAAAGUUUUAA